CCUCCUCGAUCUGCUGCGGGCAGAUGAAGUGGAUAUGGGCAUCCAUGCCGCCGGCGGUGAUGAUCUUGCCUUCGGACGCGAUCACUUCCGUGCCCGGUCCGACGAUGAUAUCGACGCCCUUCUGCGUAUCCGGAUUGCCGGCCUUGCCGAUCGCCGAAAUCCGCCCGUCCUUGAUGCCGAUAUCCGCCUUGACGAUGCCCCAGUGAUCGAUGAUCAGCGCGUUGAUGAUCACCGUGUCGACCGCGCCAUCCGCACGCGUGACCUGCGACUGCCCCAUGCCGUCGCGG
rnacentral:sRNA from 1 species